UACGAAGGGGGCUAGCGUUGCUCGGAAUCACUGGGCGUAAAGCGCACGUAGGCGGAUUCCUAAGUCGGUGGUGAAAUCCUGGGGCUCAACCUCAGAAUUGCCUCCGAUACUGGCAGUCUCGAGUGCGGGAGAGGUGAGUGGAAUUCCCAGUGUAGAGGUGAAAUUCGUAGAUAUUGGGAAGAACACCAGUGGCGAAGGCGGCUCACUGGCCCGUAACUGACGCUGAGGUGCGAAAGCGUGGGGAGCAAACAGG
rnacentral:rRNA from 1 species